rnacentral:rRNA from 1 species
GACGAACGCUGGCGGCGUGCCUAAUACAUGCAAGUAGGACGCAGUUGCGAACGGGUGCGUAACGCGUAGGUAACUACCUAUUAGAGGGGGAUAACUAUUGGAACCGAUAGCUAAUACCGCAUACUCGUAGAUGGACCUGCGUUGUAUUAGCUAUGAGGUAGGGUAAUGGCCUACCUAGGCAACGAUACAUAGCCGACCUUGUAGGGUGAUCGAGCAAACUGGGAAUGGGACACGGCCCAGACGCCGUAGGGGGGCAGCCGUAGGGAAAUUUCGGAAAGGGGGGGAACCCUGACCGAGCAACGCCGCGUGAGUGAAGAAGGUUUUCGGAUCGGAAAGCUCUGUUGUGAAGGAAGCGGUACUUAACCAGAAAGGGACGGCUAACUACGUGCCAGCAGCCGCGGUAAUAC